AUAUUUUAAAUGGAACAUUAAAGGAAUGUAGUAUUGUAAUUGUAACUUUGCCAAUAUCUUUAUCUAGAGGCCUGUUGCUAUUUUUGUCCUUUAUGAAUUAUUU